GACGAACGCUGGCGGCGUGCUUAACACAUGCAAGUCGAGCGGUAAGGCCCUUUCGGGGGUACGACGAGCGGCGAACGGGUGAGUAACACGUGGGUGACCUGCCCUCAGCUCUGGGAUAAGCCUGGGAAACUGGGUCUAAUACCGGAUAUGACUCCAUGACGCAUGUUGUGGGGUGGAAAGCCUUGUGCGGCUGAGGAUGGGUCCGCGGCCUAUCAGCUUGUUGGUGGGGNGAUGGCCUACCAAGGCGACGACGGGUAGCCGGCCUGAGAGGGCGACCGGCCACACUGGGACUGAGACACGGCCCAGACUCCUACGGGAGGCAGCAGUGGGGAAUCUUGCGCAAUGGGCGAAAGCCUGACGCAGCGACGCCGCGUGAGGGAUGACGGCCU
rnacentral:rRNA from 1 species